AGAGUUUGAUCCUGGCUCAGGACGAACGCUGGCGGCGUGCUUAACACAUGCAAGUCGAACGGUGAACCAGGGCUUGCCCUGGGAAUCAGUGGCGAACGGGUGAGUAACACGUGGGCAACCUGCCCCAGACUCUGGGAUAACUCCGGGAAACCGGGGCUAAUACCGGAUAUGACCUUUGAAGGCAUCUUCGAAGGUGGAAAGUUUUUCGGUCUGGGAUGGGCCCGCGGCCUAUCAGCUUGUUGGUGGGGUAAUGGCCCACCAAGGCGACGACGGGUAGCCGGCCUGAGAGGGCGACCGGCCACACUGGGACUGAGACACGGCCCAGACUCCUACGGGAGGCAGCAGUGGGGAAUAUUGCGCAAUGGGCGAAAGCCUGACGCAGCGACGCCGCGUGAGGGAUGAAGGCCUUCGGGUUGUAAACCUCUUUCAGCAGGGACGAAGCGAAAGUGACUGUACCUGCAGAAGAAGCACCGGCUAACUACGUGCCAGCAGCCGCGGUAAUACGUAGGGUGCAAGCGUUGUCCGGAAUUAUUGGGCGUAAAGAGCUCGUAGGCGGUUUGUCGCGUCGGAUGUGAAAACUUGGGGCUCAACCCCAAGCCUGCAUUCGAUACGGGCAAACUAGAGUUCGGUAGGGGAGACUGGAAUUCCUGGUGUAGCGGU
rnacentral:rRNA from 1 species